UGGGAUGACGUCAAAUCAUCAUGCCCUUAUGACCUGGGCUGCACACGUGCUACAAUGGUUGGUACAACGAGUUGCGAGUCGGUGACGGCGAGCUAAUCUCUUAAAGCCAAUCUCAGUUCGGAUUGUAGGCUGCAACUCGCCUACAUGAAGUCGGAAUCGCUAGUAAUCGCGGAUCAGCACGCCGCGGUGAAUACGUUCCCGGGCCUU
rnacentral:rRNA from 1 species